ACUAUAGUCCUGGAGUCCUGGAGGAGAGGAGGAAGGUUGAUGUUGUCCUGGAGGAGAGGAGGAAGGUUGAUGUUGUCCUGGAGGAGCGGAGGAAGUUUGAUGUUGUCCUGGAGGAGAGGGGAAAGGUUGAUGUUCUCCUGGAGGAGAGGAGGAGAGGAGGAAGGUUGAUGUUGUCCUGGAGGAGCGGAGCAAGGUUGAUGUUGUACUGGAGGAGAGGUGGAAGGUUGAUGUUGUCCUGGAGGAGAUGAGGAAGGUUGAUGUUGUCCUGGAGGAGAGGAAUGAAGGUUGAUGUUGUACUGGAGGAGAGGAGGAUGGUUGAUGUUGUCCUGGAGGAGAGGAGGAAGGUUGAUGUUGUACUAGAGGAGAGGAGGAAGGUUGAUGUGUUCCUGGAGGAGAUGUGGAAGGUUGAUGUUGUACUGUACUCCUGGGGGAGAGGUGGAAGGUUGAUGUUGUCCUGGAGGAGAGGUGGAAGGUUGAUGUUGUCCCGGAGGAGAGGAGGAAGGUUGAUGUUGUACUAGAGGAGAGGAGGAAGGUUGCUGUUGUACUGUACUCCGGGAGGAGAGGAGGAAGGUUGAUGUUGUCCUGGAGGAGAGGAGGAAGGUUGAUGUUGUCCUGGAGGAGCGGAGGAGGUUUGAUGUUGUCCUGGAGGAGAGGGGAAAGGUUGAUGUUGUCCUGGAGGAAAGGAAGAAGGUUGAUGGUGUACUGGAGGAGAGGAGGAAGGUUGAUGUUGUACUAUAGUCAUGAGGAGAGGAGGAAGGUUGAUGUUGUCCUGGAGGAAAGGAAGAAGGUUGAUGGUGUACUGGAGGAGAGGAGGAAGGUUGAUGUUGUACUAUAGUCCUGGAGGAGAGGAGGAAGGUUGAUGUUGUACUAUAGUCCUGGAGUCCUGGAGGAGAGGAG
ensembl:lncRNA